GGUUCGAUUAUGGCUCAGAUUGAACGCUGGCGGGAUGCUGCAUAAUAAAGUCGAACGGCAGCACGGACUUCGGUCUGGUGGCGAGUGGCGAACGGGUGAGUAAUGUAUCGGAACGUGCCUAGUAGCGGGGAUAACUACGAAAGGUAGCUAAUACCGCAUAAUGGCCCUUCGGGGGAAAGCGGGGACCUUCGGGCCCCUGCACUAUUAGAGCGGCCGAUAUCGGAUUAGCUAGUUGGUGGGGUAACGGCUCACCAAGGCGACGAUCCGUAGCUGGUUUGAGAGGACGACCAGCCACACUGGGACUGAGACACGGCCUAUGACUCCUACGGGAGGCAGCAGUGGGGAAUUUUGGACAGCUGGGAAACCCGAUCCAGCCAUCCCGCGUGUGCGAUGUGAAGGCCUCGGGUUGUGAAAGCACUUUUGGUGCAGUGGAAAGAAAACGGCACAGGAUAAUACCCUGCAACUGACGGUACCUGCAUUAAGCACCGGCUGUCUACGCCAGCAGCCGCGGUGAAUACGUAGGUGCAAGCGUUAACUGACACCACAUUUUCGGGGCGUAAAGCGCGCAGGCGUUCGAAAAGAAAGAUGUGAAAUCCCAGAGCUUAACUUUGGAACUGCAUUUAACUACCGAGCUGAGUGGAAUGAGAGGAAGUGGAAUUCCGCGUGUAGCAGAAUGCGUAGAUAUGCGGAGGAACACCCGAUGGCGAAGGCAGCCCCUGGGAUAACACUGACGCUCAUGCACGAAAGCGUGGGGAGCAAACAGGAUUAGAUACCCUGGUUGUCCACGCUCUAAACGAUGUCAACUAGCUGUUGGGGCCUUCGGGCCUUGGUAGCGCAGCUAGUCAGCGUGAAGUUAUCUGCCUGGGAGAGUACGGUCGCAAGAUUAAAACUCAAAGGAAUUGACGGGAUCUCGCACAAGCGUAGAUGAUGUGGAUUAAUUGAUGCAACGCGAAAAAACCUUACCUACCCUUGACAUGUCUGGAAUCCCGGAAGAGAUUUGGGGAGGCGCUCGCAAGAGAACCGGAACACAGGUGCUGCAUGGCUGUCGUCAGCACGUCGUGAGAUGUUGGGUUAAGUCCCGCAAUCGAAGGCAACCCUUGUCAUUAGUUGCUACGAAAGGGCACCCUAAUGAGACCGUUGUGUGACAAACCGGAGGAAGGUGGGGAUGACGUCAAGUCCUCAUGGCCCUUAUGGGUAGGGCUUCACAUUGUUGUCAUACAAUGGUCGGGCAGAGGGUCGCCAACCCGCGAGGGGGAGCCAAUCCCAGAAACCCGAUCGUAGUCCGGAUCGCAGUCUGCAACUCGACUGCGUGAAGUCGGAAUCGCUAGUAAUCGCGGAUCAGCAUGUCGCGGUGAAUACGUUCCCGGGUCUUGUACACACCGCCCGUCACACCAUGGAGUGGGUUUUACCAGAAGUAGUUAGCCUAACCGUAAGGAGAGGGCGAUUACCACGGUAGGAUUCAAUAUUCAAAGAAGUCGUAACAAGGUAG
rnacentral:rRNA from 1 species